rnacentral:tRNA from 1 species
GGAGCAUAGCCAAGCGGUUAAGGCCCGGGGCUUUGAUCCCCGUACCCCUAGUUCGAACCUCGCUGCUUGCUCCA